GUUUAGUCAGUGCAAUUCUGUGUGUGUGCAGCUAACACAUUCCUUAAUCUACAAGCCUCUGCAUGUGAACAUAACUGCAUUAAGUCCAAAUUAGUCUUUUCUUUGCUCAGUACCUGUAACUUUUACUCACUACAUGGAUGUUCCAUCAGUUUAUGAGGUUUAUUCCUUUGCAUCAAGUCUCUAAAAGUUCUUUAACCUUAUUCAGUAGUUUUUAUUUAAACCUCAGUUUUAUCAUUUUAUAAUCAUCAAGGGUUGGUUUUGUUGUAACUGGGAUCAUUUAUUGACUGCUUGCAUGUUUAGACAGGUUGAUAUAGAUGGUUACUUGUUUUCCUUUCAUCUAUAUAUUAGCGUAAACCUUGAUGUUCAUCCCCAAACCGUGAUUGGAAUACAUUUUUUAAAUAAUUUUUGUGAUAGACAGAUUUUUAUUUCAUUAUAUCAUUAUUGUCAAAGAGUUUGGAAUUAGUUUGUUUUUGGUUUACACCUCAGGUAUGUGCCACAGCAGCUGAGCGGUCAGUGCAUCUGGAAGCCUUGAGAAGAAUUACAGAGAGUCUGCACCCUGCAGAGAGUGUUCUUCUCAGCACCACCCAUUGGAGAACAGACACAAAGAAGGUGGAGAAUGUUCAGUGCUGCACAGACUCCACAAGUGACUUGGCACCAUGCCAGGAUGGCAGGGGGGGAGCAGUCAGGGAUUGUGUCCUGCUGAGGAAGACUGUACAGCUGGAUGACCUAAGCAUCGACCACUCACAGGCUGUUGUCCAGAACAACAUUGUGGUGAUAAAACAGAUACCAGAGAGGACCAUCAUUCAUCCCUGUUCAGCACAGGAAGAGACGGUUACCACAGAGGAAACUAAGAGCAGGUAAACACUUUUGAUACAAGGGACUGAACCAUCAAGAAAUGGAUAUAUUUCCCUACUCUGUCAAUACUAUCUAAAGAUGUAAAAAUCAAAUAUAAAAUCAAU
rnacentral:lncRNA from 12 species